rnacentral:lncRNA from 1 species
UAAGCCCAAUUUGUGGGCGCCCCCCUUCCUGGUCGCCCCCAACCCUAGUUUGCUCCGUUCGAUAUAAACUCAGUAGCCACCAGCUUAGAAACUCAAGUUUUGUUUAGUUCUAGUUUUCCUUUGAGAAACUAAGAUUGAUUCAUUGUAACUUUGGUGACAAGUCCUUUUACAGUGAUCCAGAGCUCCUAUUCUUGUUCUCCUUGACUG